GCUUAAAACCAUUCCAGGAAGAUGUGUAAAAAUAAUCAGAACUCUUCAGGCUGGAUUUAAAAGGGAGACUUAUACAGGUGACCAAGAGCAGAUGCUGACACCAGGGAAAGACCAGAGGGAACUGGAGGGGUGAUGGCCAAAAGGCCCAAUUCCCUGGACUGCUGAUUUUGGAGAACCUUGCCGGGUCUUUGGAAUAGGCCAAGUUGAACAAGUCAGACCUGAAACUUCACGAACUCUCCAAGUUGAGUUCUUGGGCCGAGCAUUUAUAUUUAAUUGUGCGUUGUCACCAGUCAUCUGCUGCUCCAAGAAUACAGAACACUGCUUCCAAAGCAGAUACCUUUUUUGGAGCUGCACUUCCCGAAUCUUGACAACUAGAGUCAAAACGGCGCCUGGCA
rnacentral:lncRNA from 1 species